UAAAGUUAGUGCCAAGAUGGGAA
rnacentral:piRNA from 1 species